AACGAACGCUGGCGGCAUGCCUAACACAUGCAAGUCGAACGAGACCUUCGGGUCUAGUGGCGCACGGGUGCGUAACGCGUGGGAACCUGCCCUUAGGUUCGUAAUAACUCCCCGAAAGGGGUGCUAAUACCGGAUAAUGUCUUCGGACCAAAGAUUUAUCGCCUUUGGAUGGGCCCGCGUUGGAUUAGCUAGUUGGUAGGGUAAAAGCCUACCAAGGCGACGAUCCAUAGCUGGUCUGAGAGGAUGAUCAGCCACACUGGGAAUGAGACACGGCCCAGACUCCUACGGGAGGCAGCAGUGGGGAAUAUUGGACAAUGGGCGAAAGCCUGAUCCAGCAAUGCCGCGUGAGUGAUGAAGGCCUUAGGGUUGUAAAGCUCUUUUACCCGGGAUGAUAAUGACAGUACCGGGAGAAUAAGCUCCGGCUAACUCCGUG
rnacentral:rRNA from 1 species